rnacentral:rRNA from 1 species
GAUAAACGCUGGCGGCGUGCAUGAGACAUGCAAGUCGAACGGAGGAUCGGGCUUGCUCGAUCCUUAGUGGCGGACGGCUGCGUAACGCGUAGGUGACCUACCCCGAAGUGGGGAAUAACUGCCCGAAAGGGUGGCUAAUACCGCAUGUGGUCGCACGUUCAUUCGUGCGAGUAAAGCCGCAAGGCGCUUCGGGAGGGGCCUGCGUCCGAUUAGCUCGUUGGUGGGGUAAUGGCUUACCAAGGCGACGAUCGGUAGGUGGUCUGAGAGGACGAUCACCCAGACUGGGACUGAGACACGGCCCAGACUCCUACGGGAGGCAGCAGUCGGGAAUUUUGCUCAAUGGGGGAAACCCUGAAGCAGCAACGCCGCGUGAGGGAUGAAGGCCUUCGGGUUGUAAACCUCUUUUGUCAGGGACGAUGAUGACGGUACCUGGCGAAUAAGCCACGGCUAACUACGUG